AUGAGUGAGGGUCCCCUGGGCCCGACCUCCCAACCCCAUGUUUAUUGAACCUCUGUUGCUUCGGCGGACCCGCCUCACGGCCGCCGGAGGAUUGGCCACAGUCCUCUGGCCCGCGUCCGCCGACGGCCAACCAUCAAAACUCUUGAAUAAAUCGUGUCAUGAUGUCUAAGUCUAUGAUUAAAUAAAGCA
rnacentral:misc_RNA from 1 species